UAUUCAUUCAGGCUUCAAGACCCAGCCUAAAGUCUCCAUGUAGCCCUUCCCACUCAUGACUCCCAACCCCAAAUCUGAACCACCUGCUCCUUUGUACCUUUGUGGACUUCUGAGUGUCCAUUCCUCUUGUCAAGUAGAUUAUUUGCUCUUACGACUCCCUCACUGGCUUGAUAUCUUUUCCUGGGUAGAGACAAUACUAUGCUUUUACAAUACUAUUCUUCCCAUAAUGCUUUGUACAUCAAAGCUGCACUACACGUCUCAACACAAGACUGCCUCUGCUGGGUUCACAAUCAGCUUGGGCAUUAAAGGGACUCAGACAGUUGAGGCUGGGACAAAGAAAACUUCAGCAAUCCUGCCUCCAUGCCUACAGACAAGAUUCUUCUCAACUGGGGCGAGUCCUGCCAGGGAGGAGAAGAGCAAAGACAGAGCUCAGUGUCUGCAGGGCUCAGGAAGCAGGUUCUACAGCAGGGGACGUGAACUGACAACCCCGAGGCUUGGACUUGGGAGAUGAUGCUGUUGGGUGAAUUUGGGAAGCUGAGUGGCUUCUCUUUGCCUCAGUUCUGAUUUCCGAGAAAUAAAAGCAACAGACAAGUCCUGA
rnacentral:lncRNA from 1 species